AGGAAGUAAAAGUCGUAACAAGGUUUCCGUAGGUGAACCUGCGGAAGGAUCAUUACCUAGAGUUUGUAGACUUCGGUCUGCUACCUCUUACCCAUGUCUUUUGAGUACCUUCGUUUCCUCGGCGGGUCCGCCCGCCGAUUGGACAACAUUCAAACCCUUUGCAGUUGCAAUCAGCGUCUGAAAAAACAUAAUAGUUACAACUUUCAACAACGGAUCUCUUGGUUCUGGCAUCGAUGAAGAACGCAGCGAAAUGCGAUAAGUAGUGUGAAUUGCAGAAUUCAGUGAAUCAUCGAAUCUUUGAACGCACAUUGCGCCCCUUGGUAUUCCAUGGGGCAUGCCUGUUCGAGCGUCAUUUGUACCUUCAAGCUCUGCUUGGUGUUGGGUGUUUGUCUCGCCUCUGCGUGUAGACUCGCCUUAAAACAAUUGGCAGCCGGCGUAUUGAUUUC
rnacentral:misc_RNA from 1 species